rnacentral:rRNA from 1 species
CAAUAGCGUAUAUUAAAGUUGUUGCAGUUAAAAAGCUCGUAGUUGAAUUUUGGAUUUGACAGCAGGGUCUCUUUGAAAGAAGAGUACUUUGGUGUUGGAUCUUGUUUGUAGUGAACCCAUGUGUCAUUUAUUUGGUGUAUGGUGGAACUACAGGUUUACUUUGAAAAAAUUAGAGUGUUCAAAGCAGGCGAAUAUAUUCCGCCGUCGAAUACUGCAGCAUGGGAUAAUAGAAUAGGACCGCGUUUCCGUUCUGUCGGUUCGGGAAACGAGGUAAUGAUUAAUAGGGACAGUCGGGGGCAUUAGUAUUUAAUUGUCAGAGGUGAAAUUCUUGGAUUUAUGAAAGACUAACUUCAGCGAAAGCAUCUGCCAAGGAUGUUUUCAUUAA